rnacentral:rRNA from 1 species
UACAGAGGGUGCGAACGUUGCUCGGAAUUACUGGGCGUAAAGCGCGUGUAGGCGGUCCGUUAAGUUGGUAGUGAAAUCCCAUGGCUCAACCAUGGGAGUGCUGCCAAAACUGGCGGGCUGGAGUGCCGGAGAGGGUGGCGGAAUUCCCAGUGUAGAGGUGAAAUUCGUAGAUAUUGGGAGGAACACCGGUGGCGAAGGCGGCCACCUGGACGGUAACUGACGCUAAGACGCGAAAGCGUGGGGAGCAAACAGG